ACGGGUGAGUAACACGUGGGUGAUCUGCCCUGCACUUUGGGAUAAGCCUGGGAAACUGGGUCUAAUACCGAAUAUGACCAUGCGCCUCCUGGUGUGUGGUGGAAAGCUUUUGCGGUGUGGGAUGGGCCCGCGGCCUAUCAGCUUGUUGGUGGGGUAAUGGCCUACCAAGGCGACGACGGGUAGCCGGCCUGAGAGGGUGACCGGCCACACUGGGACUGAGAUACGGCCCAGACUCCUACGGGAGGCAGCAGUGGGGAAUAUUGCACAAUGGGCGCAAGCCUGAUGCAGCGACGCCGCGUGAGGGAUGACGGCCUUCGGGUUGUAAACCUCUUUCAGCACAGACGAAGCGCAAGUGACGGUAUGUGCAGAAGAAGGACCGGCCAACUACGUGCCAGCAGCCGCGGUAAUACGUAGGGUCCGAGCGUUGUCCGGAAUUACUGGGCGUAAAGAGCUCGUAGGUGGUUUGUCGCGUUGUUCGUGAAAACUCACAACUCAAUUGUGGGCGUGCGGGCGAUACGGGCAGACUUGAGUACUGCAGGGGAGACUGGAAUUCCUGGUGUAGCGGUGGAAUGCGCAGA
rnacentral:rRNA from 14 species